rnacentral:rRNA from 1 species
GACGAACGCUGGCGGCGUGCUUAACACAUGCAAGUCGAACGGAAAGGCCCUGCUUUUGUGGGGUGCUCGAGUGGCGGACGGGUGAGUAACACGUGAGUAACCUGCCCUUGACUUUGGGAUAACUUCAGGAAACUGGGGCUAAUACCGGAUAGGAGCUCCUGCUGCAUGGUGGGGGUUGGAAAGUUUCGGCGGUUGGGGAUGGACUCGCGGCUUAUCAGCUUGUUGGUGGGGUAGUGGCUUACCAAGGCUUUGACGGGUAGCCGGCCUGAGAGGGUGACCGGCCACAUUGGGACUGAGAUACGGCCCAGACUCCUGCGGGAGGCAGCAGUGGGGAAUAUUGCACAAUGGGCGGAAGCCUGAUGCAGCAACGCCGCGUGCGGGAUGACGGCCUUCGGGUUGUAAACCGCUUUCGCCUGUGACGAAGCGUGAGUGACGGUAAUGGGUAAAGAAGCACCGGCUAACUACGUG